rnacentral:rRNA from 1 species
UACGUAGGGUGCAAGCGUUGUCCGGAAUUAUUGGGCGUAAAGAGCUCGUAGGCGGUUUGUCGCGUCUGCUGUGAAAACUCGGGGCUUAACCCCGGGCCUGCAGUGGGUACGGGCAGACUAGAGUGCGGUAGGGGAGACUGGAAUUCCUGGUGUAGCGGUGAAAUGCGCAGAUAUCAGGAGGAACACCUAUGGCGAAGGCAGCUUGCUGGGACGGCACUGACGCUGAGACGCGAAAGCGUGGGGAGCAAACAGG